rnacentral:rRNA from 1 species
ACAUCGCCUCUUGAAUAAAAUAAGAGGUCCAGCCUGCCCAGUGAAAUUAUUCAACGGCCGCGGUAUCCUAACCGUGCGAAGGUAGCGUAAUCACUUGUUCUUUAAAUGAGGACUAGUAUGAAUGGCACCACGAGGGUUCUACUGUCUCCUUUUUUUAAUCAGUGAAACUAAUCUCCCCGUGAAGAAGCGGGGAUCUUUAUAUAAGACGAGAAGACCCUAUGGAGCUUUAAACAACCAACAUUUGCUACACCAUAACAUUUCCCCUAAAAGAAGUAUAGCAUUAUGAUUAUUAGUUUUCGAUUGGGGUGAUCACGGAGUAAAAUAUAACCUCCAUGCCGAAAGGGUUCUUACCCUGAGCAAAAAGCCACAGCUUUAAGCACUAAAAAAUUAACGCAGUUUGAC